GAUGAAGAACGUAGCGAAAUGCGAUAAGUAAUGUGAAUUGCAGAAUUCAGUGAAUCAUCGAAUCUUUGAACGCACAUUGCGCCCGCCAGUAUUCUGGCGGGCAUGUCUGUUCGAGCGUCAUUUCAACCAUCAAGCCCCCGGGCUUGUGUUGGGGACCUGCGGCUGCCCGCAGGCCCUGAAAACCAGUGGCGGGCUCGCUGUCACACCGAGCGUAGUAGCAUCAUCUCGCUCAGGGCGUGCUGCGGGUUCCGGCCGUUAAAAAGCCUCUAAUACCCAAGGUUGACCUCGGAUCAGGUAGGAAGACCCGCUGAACUUAAGCAUAUCAAUAAGCGGAGGA
rnacentral:misc_RNA from 1 species